AAUGAACGUUGGCGGCGUGGAUUAGGCAUGCAAGUCGAGCGAGAACCGGGGUUCGCCCUGGGGAAAGCGGCGAAAGGGAGAGUAAUGCGUAGGUAUCUGCCCUCGGAUUCGGGAUAGCUACGGGAAACUGUAGGUAAUACCGGAUAACGUCUACGGACCAAAGGUGUGAUUCCGUCCGAGGAGGGGCCUGCGUCCGAUUAGCUUGUUGGCGAGGUAAUGGCUCACCAAGGCAACGAUCGGUACUGGGUGUGAGAGCAUGACCCAGCUCACUGGGACUGAGACACUGCCCAGACACCUACGGGUGGCUGCAGUCGAGAAUCUUCGGCAAUGGGCGCAAGCCUGACCGAGCGACGCCGCGUGCGGGAUGAAGGCCCUCGGGUUGUAAACCGCUGUCGGAGGGGAGGAAAUGCGAGAGAGCAAUCUCUCUCGUUUGACCUAUCCUCGGAGGAAGUACGGGCUAAGUUCGUG
rnacentral:rRNA from 1 species